rnacentral:rRNA from 1 species
AGUAACGGCGAGUGAAGCGGCAACAGCUCAAAUUUGAAAUCUGGCUCUUUCAGGGUCCGAGUUGUAAUUUGUAGAAGAUGCUUUGGGUGUGGCUCCGGUCUAAGUUCCUUGGAACAGGACGUCAUAGAGGGUGAGAAUCCCGUACGUGACUGGGUGCCUUCGCUCGGGUAAAGCUCUUUCGACGAGUCGAGUUGUUUGGGA